UACCAGCACCCCGAGUUGUCGGGACGAUUAUUGGGCCUAAAGCAUCCGUAGCCUGUUCUGCAAGUCCUCCGUUAAAUCCACCCGCUUAACGGAUGGGCUGCGGGGGAUACCGCAGAGCUAGGAGGCGGGAGAGGCAAACGGUACUCAGUGGGUAGGGGUAAAAUCCAUUGAUCUACUGAAGACCACCAGUGGCGAAGGCGGUUUGCCAGAACGCGCUCGACGGUGAGGGGUGAAAGCUGGGGGAGCAAACCGG
rnacentral:rRNA from 1 species